rnacentral:rRNA from 1 species
UACGAACCGUGCGAACGUUAUUCGGAAUCACUGGGCUUAAAGCGCGUGUAGGCGGGCCAUCACGUCGGUCGUUGAAAGCCCCCGGCUCAACCGGGGAACCGGCGCCGAUACGAGUGGCCUGGAGGGGGGUAGGGGGACCUGGAACUUCCGGUGGAGCGGUGAAAUGCGUUGAGAUCGGAAGGAACGCCCGUGGCGAAAGCGAGGUCCUGGACCCCAUCUGACGCUGAGACGCGAAAGCCAGGGGAGCGAACGGG